AGUUCUCCAGAGCAAAAGGACAAAUGGUUCUCUUCCCUUCAGAGAAACAGGGUCUAAUUAACUUGCUGGGGUUCUUAAUUAUUGAGACUGGACUCAAAGUUGUGGACCUACCUUAGCCUCCUGAGUCACUAGGAUUAAAGGCAUGUGUUACUACAUCUGACAG